GACGAACGCUGGCGGUGUGCUUAACACAUGCAAGUCGAACGGUAAGGCCCUUUCGGGGGUACACGAGUGGCGAACGGGUGAGUAACACGUGAGUAACCUGCCCUCAUCUCUGGGAUAACAGUCGGAAACGGUUGCUAAUACUGGAUAUGAGCUUGCAAGGCAUCUUGUGGGUUGGAAAGAUUUUUUUGGUUGGGGAUGGACUCGCGGCCUAUCAGCUUGUUGGUGAGGUAGUGGCUCACCAAGGCUUCGACGGGUAGCCGGCCUGAGAGGGCGACCGGCCACAUUGGGACUGAGAUACGGCCCAAACUCCUACGGGAGGCAGCAGUGGGGAAUAUUGCACAAUGGACGGAAGUCUGAUGCAGCAACGCCGCGUGCGGGAUGACGGCCUUCGGGUUGUAAACCGCUUUCAAUUGUGAGGAAGCUUUUUGUGACGGUAGCAGUAGAAGAAGCACCGGCUAACUACGUG
rnacentral:rRNA from 1 species